AGUGAACGCUGGCGGUAGGCCUAACACAUGCAAGUCGAACGGAAGCACAGUGAGAGCUUGCUCUUACGGGUGGCGAGUGGCGGAAGGGUGCGGAAUGCAUCGGAAUCUACUUUGUCGUGGGGGAUAACGUAGGGAAACUUACGCUAAUACCGCAUACGUCCUACGGAUGACAGCAGGGGAUCUUCGGACCUUGCGCGAUUGAAUGAGCCGAUGUCGGAUGAGCUAGUUGGCGGGGUAAAGGCCCACCAAGGCGGCGAUCCGUAGCUGGUCUGAGAGGAUGAUUCACCAGCCGGGAUGUGAGACACGGCCGCCACUCCUAGGGGAGGACGCAGUGGGGAAUAUUGGACAAGGGGCGAAAGCCUGAUCCAGCCCUACCGGGUGAGUCAUGAAGGCCUUCUGGUUGUAAAGUCCUUUUGUUGGGAAAGAAAAGCAGCAGUUUAAUCCCCCGCUGUUCUGACGGUACCCAAAGAAUAAGCACCGGCUAACUUCGUG
rnacentral:rRNA from 1 species